CAGAUACUCCUUCCGUUCGGAAUUACUUGUCACAAAAAAAAUGUAUCUAUAACUAAAUUACAUCUAGAUACAUUUAUUUCUUAGACGAGUAUUUCCGAACGGAGGGAGUACAAG
rfam:Triticum aestivum genome assembly, contig: Triticum_aestivum_CS42_TGACv1_scaffold_129933_2BL